rnacentral:rRNA from 1 species
UACGAAAGGUCCAAGCGUUACUCGGAAUUACUGGGCGUAAAGCGCGCGUAGGCGGUCUUGUAUGUCGAUUGUGAAAGCCCCGGGCUCAACCUGGGAACUGCAGUCGAAACUGCAAGACUUGAAUGUUGGAGAAGUUGGGGGAAUACCUAGUGGAGAAGUGAAAUUCGUAGAGAUUAGGUGGAACACCAGAGGCGAAGGCGCCUGACUGGCCAAACAUUGACGCUGAGGCGCGAAAGCGUGGGUAGCAAACAGG